AGCUGGCUUCACCUCUCAGUAGGAAGGAAGACACUUGUUUGGAAUAUUGCAGAAUGGUAGAUAUCACAUUUUAUCAAAGGACAGUAAUGCUUGAUCUUCUAUUUCCCACAGAACUCUGGAUCCAGUUAAGAGCAGGAGGGGGAAAGAAGCAGCAAUAUUUCAAAUGUCCAUACUCUAACCUGCAAAAGACACUGAGUAGGUGGAAGAAAACUGCAUUUUACUUCAGCGGCAAGAUAUCGAGCAGGAAUAGAGACACUGCUUGAAGAAACAGGAGAUAGCGGCCGUACCCCACAUCAUCAUAAAUAUAAUCUAGAAUAUGUUUUAAAAAGCUGCCCUAUUUGUCAAUCUGUCAUGAAAUAUAUUUCAGCUUCAAGCCUAAUGCUCCUGGG
rnacentral:lncRNA from 1 species